AACCUUUAGUUAUUUAAUCUUCCCUGCGUGAGCGGACGAAAACACAACACCUAAAAUGUGGAAUAUAGCAUAUAGUCGACAAGAGAAAUCUACGAAAAACAAACAAAACUUUCAACAACGGAUCUCUUGGUUCUCGCAUCGAUGAAGAGCGCAGCGAAAUGCGAUACCUAGUGUGAAUUGCAGCCAUCGUGAAUCAUCGAGUUCUUGAACGCACAUUGCGCCCCUCGGCAUUCCGGGGGGCAUGCCUGUUUGAGCGUCGUUUCCAUCUUGCGCGUGCGCAGAGUUGGGGGAGCGGAGCGGACGACGUGUAAAGAGCGUCGGAGCUGCGACUCGCCUGAAAGGGAGCGAAGCUGGCCGAGCGAACUAGACUUUUUUUCAGGGACGCUUGGCGGCCGAGAGCGAGUGUUGCGAGACAACAAAAAGCUCGACCUCAAAUCAGGUAGGAAUACCCGCUGAACUUAAGCAUAUCAAUAAGCGGAGGAA
rnacentral:rRNA from 1 species